rnacentral:rRNA from 1 species
AACGAACGCUGGCGGCAUGCCUAACACAUGCAGGUCGAACGAGACCUUCGAGUCUAGUGGCGCACGGGUGCGUAACGCGUGGGAACCUGCCCUUAGGUUCGGAAUAACUCCCCGAAAGGGGUGCUAAUACCGGAUAAUGUCUUCGGACCAAAGAUUUAUCGCCUUUGGAUGGGCCCGCGUUGGAUUAGCUAGUUGGUAGGGUAAAAGCCUACCAAGGCGACGAUCCAUAGCUGGUCUGAGAGGAUGAUCAGCCACACUGGGACUGAGACACGGCCCAGACUCCUACGGGAGGCAGCAGUGGGGAAUAUUGGACAAUGGGCGAAAGCCUGAUCCAGCAAUGCCGCGUGAGUGAUGAAGGCCUUAGGGUUGUAAAGCUCUUUUACCCGGGAUGAUAAUGACAGUACCGGGAGAAUAAGCUCCGGCUAACUCCGUG